rnacentral:rRNA from 1 species
UCCCAGACUCCUACGGGAGGCAGCAGUGGGGAAUAUUGGGCAAUGGGCGAAAGCCUGACCCAGCAACGCCGCGUGAAGGAAGAAGGCUUUCGGGUUGUAAACUUCUUUUGACAGGGAAGAGCAGAAGACGGUACCUGUCGAAUAAGCCACGGCUAACUACGUGCCAGCAGCCGCGGUAAUACGUAGGUGGCAAGCGUUGUCCGGGUUUACUGGGUGUAAAGGGCGUGUAGCCGGGCCGGCAAGUCAGAUGUGAAAUCCCAAGGCUCAACCUUGGAACUGCAUUUGAAACUGCUGGUCUUGAGUAUCGGAGAGGCAGGCGGAAUUCCUAGUGUAGCGGUGAAAUGCGUAGAUAUACGGAGGAACACCAGUGGCGAAGGCGGAUUGCUGGACAGUAACUGACGCUGAGGCGCGAAAGCGUGGGGAGCAAACAGGAUUAGAUACCCGCGUACCU